AGAGUUUGAUCAUGGCUCAGGACGAACGCUGGCGGCGUGCUUAACACAUGCAAGUCGAACGGUCUUCAUAUUGAAAGCUUGCUGGAUAUGUGGAGAUAGUGGCGGACGGGUGAGUAACGCGUGAAUACCUGGCCAUCGGAGGGGGACAACGGCUGGAAACGGUCGCUAAUACCGCGUAAGCCGGAAGGUGAAAGGCCACGUAAGUGGCCGCCGAUGGAUGGGUUCGCGUCCUAUCAGCUAGUUGGUGGGGUAAGGGCCUACCAAGGCGAAGACGGGUAGCCGGUCUGAGAGGGUGAUCGGCCACACUGGAACUGAGAUACGGUCCAGACUCCUACGGGAGGCAGCAGUGGGGAAUAUUGGGCAAUGGGGGGAACCCUGACCCAGCGACGCCGCGUGAGGGAAGAAGGUUUUCGGAUCGUAAACCUCUGUUGUACGGGAAGAAGGAAGUGACGGUACCGUACGAGGAAGCCCCGGCAAACUACGUGCCAGCAGCCGCGGUAACACGUAGGGGGCGAGCGUUGUCCGGAAUUACUGGGCGUAAAGGGCGCGCAGGCGGUUAUGCGAGUCUGCUGUGAAAGGCACCGGCUUAACCGGUGAGUUGCGGCGGAUACUGCAUAGCUGGAGUACUGGAGAGGGAA
rnacentral:rRNA from 1 species